rnacentral:rRNA from 1 species
UACGGAGGAUCCGAGCGUUAUCCGGAUUUAUUGGGUUUAAAGGGUGCGUAGGCGGCCUAUUAAGUCAGGGGUGAAAGACGGUAGCUUAACUAUCGCAGUGCCUUUGAUACUGAUGGGCUUGAAUGUAGUUGAGGUAGGCGGAAUGUGACAAGUAGCGGUGAAAUGCAUAGAUAUGUCACAGAACACCAAUUGCGAAGGCAGCUUACUAAAGUAAGAUUGACGCUGAGGCACGAAAGCGUGGGAUCAAACAGG